AUUGAACGCUGGCGGCAGGCCUAACACAUGCAAGUCGAGCGGAGCGGGGACGGGUGAGUAACACGUGGGUAACCUCCCAUCAGAGGGGAUAACACUUGGAAACAGGUGCUAAACCGAUACUGAUGGAUGGACCCGGGGUGCUUUAGCUAGUUGGUGAGGUAACGGCUCACCAAGGCCACGAUGCAUAGCCGACCUGAGAGUGUGAUCGGCCACAAUGGGAAUGAGACACGGCCUAUACUACGACGGGAGGCACAAUUGGGGAAUCUGCGACAAUGGACGAAAGUCUGACCGAGCAACGCGGCGUGAGUGAAGAAGGUUUUCGGAUCGUAAAACUCUGUUGUUAGAGAAGCGGUAUCUAACCAGAAAGCCACGGCUAACUACGUGCCAGCAGCCGCGGUAAUAC
rnacentral:rRNA from 1 species